rnacentral:rRNA from 1 species
AAUCUUGCACAAUGGGCGCAAGCCUGAUGCAGCAACGCCGCGUGCGGGAAGAAGGCCCUAGGGUUGUAAACCGCUUUCAGCAGGGAAGAAACUGACGGUACCUGUAGAAGAAGGUGCGGCCAACUACGUGCCAGCAGCCGCGGUGACACGUAGGCACCAAGCGUUGUCCGGAAUUAUUGGGCGUAAAGAGCUUGUAGGCGGUUCGGUUAGUCGGGUGUGAAACCUCUGGGCUCAACCCAGAGACGCCACCCGAUACUGCUGUGACUAGAGUGCGGUAGGGGAGCGGGGAACUCCUGGUGUAGCGGUGAAAUGCGCAGAUAUCAGGAAGAACACCAGUGGCGAAGGCGCCGCUCUGGGCCGUAACUGACGCUGAGAAGCGAAAGCGUGGGGAGCAAACAGGAUUAGAUACCCUGGUAGUCCACGCCGUAAACGUUGGGCACUAGGUGUGGGUCUCAACCAACGAGAUCCGCGCCGUCGCUAACGCA